rnacentral:lncRNA from 1 species
AAAUCUCAGCCGUUGUUAAAAGAAGUGUAAAAUUUGUAUCAAUAUUUAAUUCCUACAAUUUGGAAGAGCUCGGAACUGCAAUUGGAUGGCUCCAUCUGCUCCAGGCGCUGGUUCUCGGAGGUCUCCGGGGGUGGGGCUGAUCACCUCUCCUGCUCCUUAACAACUCACACAGUCCCUCAAGGGAGAGCUCCAGAUGGUGAAGGAAGCACUGCAGGCCAUGAUCCUGCCGCUCCAGACAGCCACGGAGGAGGCGGGAGGAGGAGAGGCAGCGGCCUCCUGCCCAGCAGCUGGUGUCCUGGAAGCACAGCCUGAGGGCAGGGGCCGGGAGGAGGUGGGCCACUCUGUCAUCAGGGUGGACUCAGGCUCCUGCUCCCGGGGCCUCACUGAUAUGCCUGGAACAGUCGUGGAGACGCAGAGCCUGGGGGUCUCCCAGCCGGGGGGGUGGUCGUCCAUUCUCAUGAGCUGAAUUGGGGCGUCUGCAAAUUGGAAUACUGGAGUGGGUUGCUGAUUUUCCUUCUGAAUGUCACUUAGAGGUUCACCUCCAUGACAUUUAUGGGUGUGUGCUGCACAGGAUUUGGAAAUGUCUUCAUCUCCACCCCCACUGGACAGGGGUUAGAGGGAAUUCUGGUGGAAGAGUGUCUGUUUCCCAGUUUCAACUUGGACUCUGCUGCAGUUAGAAUAUUUCAUGAUUUAAGAACCUGUGGAAAGGAAACCAGCACAGGCCUCAGGACAUCUGUCGCACUUCCCUCCACCUUAUCCCCGAGAGCCAGUCACCCCAGCCGGGCUUGGCUGGUCCUCCCCUCACUCCCUGGACUCCCCUCUCCCCAGAGAAUUGACCUGAGCUUCCAGGCUGGUGCUCUUCAAGGCACCAGCCUCAGCAACUGCAGCUUUGGGGGUUUUCCUGGCAAUGGGGGCACCUAUGGAGAGGAUGCCAGUCUGGACCUUUUGAAGUUCACCAUGGGGCAGGGACUGGGGCGGGGACGGGAACCAACCAGGAGAUGUGGGCCCUUUUGAGUCUCUCCUAUUUCCUGCCCAAUCUGUUUCCUUCUGUGAUGGGAGAAUCCGGCGUGGAACCCUCUGAGCAGGGCAGACCAGGCGGGAGACCAGUGCUCCACCCUCCACCGCAGGCCCCUGGGACUCCCGGGGCACCUGCAUCGCAUCCCACGUGCACCAAGAAAGGCGCUCCAGAGAAAGGCUCUGAGAACAAAGGUCUGUUUGGUCAAGAUGCCAGGCCUCACCCCUGUGUGGACAGGGCAGCACACCUGACGUGGGCCUGCGAGUGCCAGCAAGGAGCCCCUCAACUGUCUACCCUGAGCCUCCCACACUGAGUGCAUCUGUCCACCCCCCAAUAAACCCAGUUCCUUCCUCAGUCACGGGUGGUGCAGCUACGCUCUCUGGGGCCAUCCUGGUGUGAAUGUAGACUUGGGUCACGUGCACAUUGACUUGUGCAGAGCUCUGAGCCCCGUAGCCACCUGCCACGGACGGCAAGGUCAACCGAGCGACGACUGCUUCUGUGCAUCUCUUUUUUGUGUCGGGGACAGUGACCUUCCCGCCUUCACCAGGACCCAGGGACGCACAGCAAGUUUUGUCAUUUCCUGGCCACGCUGCCAUUUCUGUUUGCUAGCCUUUCCGUGCAUGGGCACCUUGGUCCUCAGGCAAGGAUAAGGCCCUGCUCUCACCAGCGACUAUCCUGGGCCCAGCAGCCAGGCAAAAGCACAGUCUGUGGACAAGCUUAUUGUGUGUCCUGCAGUUUUAUCCUGGGUGUUUUCAAAAGUAUAUUCUGCAUAUUUGAAUAAUAGGUGUAAUUAGUUUGUUCUUGGACUCAAUUUUCAAUAAUGGACCAAAUCCCUGAAUUAUUUAUAAUCGUGUCUCAAAAAGUAUCAUGAGCUAGUCACGUGGCACGGGGAUUCUUGAAUCCUUAACGUAUUCCAGUGAGGCAAAAUUGAAGAGUCAGGACUAGCCGUUUUGCCAGGAACAAAUUCCUACUUUGACAAGUUUUUUAAACAGCCUCCCGGGCUCAAGACACCUAACAGGCCCUGGCCUGGGUGUUUUGUGUCACUGACAGCCUGUGAAAUGCUUCUGUGAGAUUGCGAUGUAUUGGAAGAUUCCAGAAACUAAUAACUUCCUUGAGUGUGUCUCAAAUAAGGGCUCCUUGGUGCCUCGGGGAUGGGGUGUUCCCUCCUGGCUGAGGCUCUGGGCCAAGCCCAGAUGUCUGUGACCACGUACUGUGCCUGCGCUCCAGCUGCUGCUUGGUCCUGCAUUGUCACCCAGGAAAGCUGCUAGGGCCAGGUGCCCCCUCUGGCCAUACUACCUCCUCAUGGCAACCCCUCUCUGUCCAGCCACACCAAUCCCAGAAUACCUAGGACCCUGCAUCCCUAUCCACACUACAGGACGGGUUAUCUGAUUCCUUUUUAUUUUGUACUGGGGAUGGAACCCAGGGGUGCUCGUCCACUGAGCUACGUCACCAACUCUUUUUAUUUUUUAUUUUGAGACAGGGUCUUGCUUAGUGGCUGAGGCUGGCCUUGAGCUUGCCAUCCUGCUGCUUCAGCCUCCAGAGUAGCUGGGAUCACAGGUGUGCACCACUGUGCCCGGCUACAGAACAGGUUUUGACAGAGCAAUGUAAAAAUAGGCAAGGAAGGUUAGAACGUGGACUUAAAAGCAACUUAACAAAAGUGGAGAUAGCCGAGCCCACAGCAAGUGGCCUUCUGAUGGCUUAGAGCCUGAUUACAUUGGGACGUGUCACCAAGACGUAGCAGGAGAGAGGAAGUGACAUAUCUAUCACACUGCCACCUGCCGGCCCACUGCCCUCACAGGGCCUCCAGUUAGAGCACGUUCUCCAUCACAGUCAGGGUUCCUUCCAACAUCCUGGCAUUCCAGGGUUGAGUUGCCCCUUCCCCAGAUCAAGUGGAUGUGUCAUACUGGAAACGUCUUCCUCUAGGGCAAGCUGGGGUCCCCCCAGAAACACGCACGGGCGGCUCCACGCUCAGCCACCCUCAUGGCAGCCUUGGGAGGACAUCUGAGGGUGACAGAGGCCCAGGAAGAUCCCCCCAACCCAAGCUGGAGGAGGAGGAGGGCUGAGAGCGAGGGGCCACCAGAGGCAGGCGCCUGCUCCCAGCUACGCCUUCCUGGUGCCGCACUGUCCCUGGGCACUGUGAGACUGGAACUUGUCUGUUCACCCAGUUAAAAGCACACUUGCACCCUGAGAAUCCUGACCAGAGAGUCAGAAACUGGAGGAGACAAACCAGCCUCGUGGGCCCAGGUGAGCCCCCCCAUGCAGUCAAGGUUUGGACAGGGUCAGCACCCAGAAGCCCAACUGGUCCUGACCCAGAGCACCCACCACCCAGGAACAGCCCCUGGCUGCCCGACACCAGCAGGUGUUCCUGACAACCCUCCCAGGACAGGGGUUCUCCAGAGAGCGUUGUGAGCCAACUGUGAAACCUACUGUGGAGGAAGCAGCCCAUGCCCUAUGGUCAGUGCCUCCCGUCUGCAUCCACCUUGUACAGCUGUCCAUGUCCUUGCCCUGUCUAAUCUGUGAACUUGGUCAUGUAGCUUAUUGCUCCUGUAAUUUUCCCUUUCAUUUCAUAAAAGUAGAACUGAUAUGUAAACCAGGGUGCUGCUCAGGGUUCUCGUCUUCUGCCCAAGGUUUUCAUCUUCUGCUGUGUAGACGACAGGAAAACACCAGGUUUAUUCAGCUCGUCUUUGGGUUACAGGGUGCUUAACUGCACUAUUCUUCUCAUCACACCAACCUUUGUAAUAAAGCCAUGCUUUAAAACUGGGUCCAUGUGCUUUCAAAUUCCAACAGAUCAGAGGACCAUGGACCCUUCUACCCUGGGCCCUCAGAUAGGGAAGGUGGCAUUAGCACUACAAGAUAUGGGUUUAGCCCGCGACCAGCGUAGGCUUCAUGGAUGAAAGUUCCAAAU